rnacentral:rRNA from 1 species
AGCCUGCGGUUUAAUCGGACUCAACGCUGGGAAACUCACCAGAUAAGACAGCUGAAUGAUAGUCGGGCUGAAGACUCUACUUGACUAGCUGAGAGGAGGUGCAUGGCCGUCGUCAGUUCGUACUGUGAAGCAUCCUGUUAAGUCAGGCAACGAGCGAGACCCACGCCAACAGUUGCCAGCUCGUCCUCCGGGAUGGUGGGGACACUGUUGGGACCGCCUCUGCUAAAGAGGAGGAAGGAAUGGGCAACGGUAGGUCAGCAUGCCCCGAAUUAUCUGGGCUACACGCGGGCUACAAUGGGUGGGACAAUGGGUAUCGACACCGAAAGGUGAAGGCAAUCUCCUAAACCCAUCCGUAGUUCGGAUUGUGGGCUGCAACUCGCCCACAUGAAGCUGGAAUCUGUAGUAAUCGUGUCUCAAAAUGGCACGGUGAAUACGUCCCUGCUCCUU